CCUACGGGAGGCAGCAGUGGGGAAUAUUGGACAAUGGGCGAAAGCCUGAUCCAGCCAUGCCGCGUGUGUGAAGAAGGCCUUCGGGUUGUAAAGCACUUUCAGUGGGGAAGACAGCCUUGGGGCUAAUACCCUCGAGGAAGGACAUCACCCACAGAAGAAGCACCGGCUAACUCCGGGCCAGCAGCCGCGGUAAUACGGAGGGUGCGAGCGUUAAUCGGAAUUACUGGGCGUAAAGCGCGCGUAGGCGGUCUGAUAAGCCGGUUGUGAAAGCCCCGGGCUCAACCUGGGAACGGCAUCCGGAACUGUCAGGCUAGAGUGCAGGAGAGGAAGGUAGAAUUCCCGGUGUAGCGGUGAAAUGCGUAGAGAUCGGGAGGAAUACCAGUGGCGAAGGCGGCCUUCUGGACUGACACUGACGCUGAGGUGCGAAAGCGUGGGUAGCAAACAGGAUUAGAUACCCCAGUAGUC
rnacentral:rRNA from 1 species